rnacentral:rRNA from 1 species
GUAGGUGACCUGCGGAGGAUCAUUCACAAUAAGAGUGUUUAUGGCACUCUUCAAAAAAAUCCAUACCCACCUUGUGUGCAAUGUAAAAAAGGAAGCAACGGGAAAGAGGUCCCUUGGUGACAAGGGCCUGUUUUCAGCGCUUUCUUUUUCUUUAUAUACACCUUUCUAUAAGUUCCUAUUGUCUGAAGCUGUUAGAGAAUGACUAAUUCUUAAACAUAACUUUCAACAACGGAUCUCUUGGCUCUCGCAUCGAUGAAGAACGCAGCGAAAUGCGAUACGUAAUGUGAAUUGCAGAAUUCAGUGAAUCAUCGAAUCUUUGAACGCAUAUUGCGCUCUUUGGUAUUCCGAAGAGCAUGCUUGUUUGAGUAUCAGUAAACACCUCAACCAGAAUCCUUUCUGGCUGGAUUUGAGCAAACCCAACAACCUCUCUCGAGGCAGGCGGGUUGCUUGAAAUGCAGGUGCAGCUGUAACAAGAACAGACUGAGCUAAAAGCAUAUCUAAUUUAGUCCGUCUCGGCGGAUUAUUAUCAUUUGCUGCAGCUACUCUAAGGUCAUCUUGUCGAGCUGACUGAUGCAGGAUUUGUCAGACAACUCCUCUCUAUCUCUUCGGAGCGUAGGAGGGAGGUACUCUUUCAAAACUCGAUCUCAAAUCAAGUAAGACUACCCGCUGAACUUAAGCAUAUCAAUAAGCGGAGGAAAAGAAACUAACAAGGAUUCCCUUAGUAACGGCGAGUGAAGCGGGAAGAGCUCAAAUUUAAAAUCUGGCCGGGUUACCGGUCCGAGUUGUAGUUUAUAGAAGUGUUUUCGGCGGCAACCUGGGUACAAGUCCUUUGGAACAGGGCAUCAUAGAGGGUGAGAAUCCCGUCCAUGACCCAGUGGAUGCUGCUAUGUGAUACACUUUCAAAGAGUCGAGUUGUUUGGGAUUGCAGCUCAAAAUGGGUGGUAAAUUUCAUCUAAAGCUAAAUACAGGCGAGAGACCGAUAGCGAACAAGUACCGUGAGGGAAAGAUGAAAAGAACUUUGAAAAGAGAGUUAAACAGUGCGUGAAAUUGUUGAAAGGGAAACGUUUGGCACCAGUCAUGCGUUCAGGAAAUCAGUCUAUCGAAGUGGGGAGUGGCAGGAGUUUGGACCGCAAGGCCAACUUUUGUUGCAUUUCUAUUUGGAUGGAUGCACUUUUCUGUAUGCAGGUCAACAUCAGUUUUGUUCGCCGGACAAAACCCCAAGGGAAUGUGGCAGCUUUGGCUGUGUUAUAGCUCUGGGGCGAUACGGUGGACGAGACUGAGGCUUUCAGUGUGUGCUCUCGGGCAAGGCUGACCGGGUGCUAUGAGCCAGUACGGGGUACAAUACAUGUAUUUUGCUUCGUGUCUGGCUUGUACUCGCUCGAAUCAGCUCUCCACGCUAGGA